rnacentral:lncRNA from 13 species
UGCAUUUGCCUAAGAUUGCCAAGUUUAAGUGGAAAGAAGCACUGUAUGUGUGUGUGAGAGUGUGUGUGUGUGUGUGUGUAUGUGUAUGUGUGUGUGUGAGUGCAGGGAGAGAGAGAAAAAGAAACCAAAACACAGAUGCACACACAGAGAGAAGAGAGACAGAGAGUGCAAAAAAAAGUUUUGUUUAUCUGGAGAACCCUGACUGAUAAUAUAGCCCCUAAAGAUAAGCCAACUGAUACAUCUGAUGGUCAAAUGAAGAAACAAUCCACAUCAACACUGAAAGAAAAACUGGCUAUGCUGGACUUAC